GGAGGGAGACCACGCCCACUCUGCGCCGACCGGCUGGGCCUGGCACCCGCGGGCGGCCCCAGCCUCAGUCUCCAGCUACCUUUGCCUCCUGCGGCCGCCCCCAGGCAGAGCUGCGAUCCCACCGCCGGGGGUGCAGGGAGAGGGAAGAUCUGGCCUCCUUGGUCCUUUUGCGUGGGCUCUUCAGAGCGUGAGCGCCGGGGAGGGACUCCGGAGAAAAGCUUGGGGGGCUGCGUAUUGCUGCUCCCCAAGCUGGGCGUCAGGACCAACCCCGCCGCCCCCACGGGCCUGACGGGAGAGGAGGAAGGGCUCGGGACGGUCGGCUCGCCGAGCCAACCAGGUGGCGCCUGAAGAGCUGUCCAUGGUGUCGACAGCCCAGCAAACGGCACCGAGUUCCUAGUCUGAGUGUCUGGAUAGGUAGCAGAAGAAAAACUAAUGCCUGCUCUGGGACAGUUCUGUUCGGUGCCUUUUCUUGUGUGUUCUGGAGCUCACAGGGUUCUAUCGAAGAGUGCUUAGGUGUAUACGAUGGAGAGUGGGACGUCACAAACCAGGAUCUCAAGGCUGAGUCCAACAAAACAUGGCCGUAGGGAGGCCACGACAGCUGUGGUUGUCACCGACGGAUGAAUAGCUUUUGCCAACCGUGGAAUUUAGUAACUAAAGGCACCUAACCCUUUUAUCUCAUCCUCAUUUUUCAACAAAUGGUGCUUCCUGGCUAAUAUCAGCGUGUCCCAUAGAUUUCUGCUUCCAUUGAAUAGACCUAAUAAGAAAGAGAAUGAAGUCAAAGCCAACAGGGCAGAAAGAAAUUGAAAACCUGAAGAACCCAGCACUCAAACUGUCUCCACUUGCGUUUGCUUUUUCUUUACCUCUUCUCCUUCUGGUUUUCAACAGCCAAAGCAGGAUUUAAAUUUGGUUAUGUUGCAAAAAUCAUUUCCCUCUUCAGGCCCUGUCAUGUGACUUGAUUUUUUCGUCCAUUUUAGAGAAGCUGUACCCACCCUGGUUUCAGGACACGGAACUAAAUUUAUUAGAAAAGAAGCCACUUCAAGUCAUGAAGGAGAAACACAAAGAUUCUUGGAUUUAGUUCUAAGAACUAGAGGGGAUUUCUAUGUCAGUACUGUCUCAGAAAAAACUGUUGAUAUCAAAUGUGUUGCUUGAGAAGUACCUUUUUUUUUUUGAGACGGAGUCUCGCUCUGUCCGCCCAGGCUAGAGUGCAGUGGCGCGAUCUCGGCUCACUGCAAGCUCCGCCUCCCGGGUUCACGCCGUUCUCCUGCCUCAGCCUCCCGAGUAGCUGGGAUUACAGGUGCCCACCACCACGCCCGGCUAAUUUUUGUAUUUUUAGUAGAGACAGGGUUUCACCGUGUUAGCCAGGAUGGUCUCGAUCUCCUGACCUCGUGAUCCACCCGCCUCGGCCUCCCAAAGUGCUGGGAUAACAGGCGUGAGCCAUCGCGCCCGGCCGAGAGGUACCUUUUAUGACAACUGAAAUCAUUCAGUUUCAAGAGGAGUUGGGUACUGAAACCAAACUUGCUUACUCCAAAGCCCAAAAUCCUUUCCACCAUGCCUGUGUGUCUGUAAGGCUACACUAGAAAUGCUUCCUUUCUUAUAGUGGGAAGCAUGGGUACUAAGCUCUUUUACGAACAAGUGUUCUGCAUAUUCCUGGUUCCUUUUUAUUUUGGACUGAGGAGAUUUAGGUCAAAAUUUCUGGGUUCUGGGUUGGAAUUCCAGCUUCUUUCUUCAAAUUAAACUGGGGGGUAGCAAGACUUAUUCCUAGAUUUGUUAGAAGGCCACAGCUUUUCCACAUCUCAUUUUAGUCAUGAAAAAGACACAUGCCCAGAGUUUGAAAAACAUAAAGGCAAUUUGACUAGUGGCUUGAUUGGUUCUAUCUUCUUUUUCUUGUCCCUCUUUCCUAUUUAUACUUCUACUUUUGUUACAGCAUUUGACAAUAGUUGGAAAAAUUUUCACUGACCUUGAAAUGUCUUUGGGAUAGGGUGACUUAAAAUAUAGGUUAAGUGGCAUACACAAACUUCUUAGUGAGAUCCUAAGGGCCUACAGAGACAGGCUGACACCAACUCAACCCUUGAAACUGUGCAAUGAAGAGCCUGUGGGAGGCUAAAAAACGCUACUUCAAAAAGAGAUCCUUGUCUGUGAAUGUUAAUUUAGGUUUACAGAUUUGAUUAAGGGUCUUGAGAUUAUUUUCAAUUAUCCAGGUGGGCCCUAGAGCCCUAGAUGCAAUCAUAAGUGUCCUUAUAACAGGGAGGCAGAGGAAAAUUAAACACGCACACAGGAGAGAGAGAGAGAGAAAAAAAAGUGAUGUGAAGACAGCAGCAGAGAUUGGAGCGAUGUGGCCAUAGCCAAGCUAUGUCAGCAGCCAUCAGAAGUUGGAAGAGGCAAGGAAGGAUUUGAGCCUAGAGCCUUUGGAAGGAGCAUGGCCCUGUUGGUUCUGGCCUCCAGAACUGCAAGAAAAUACAUUUUUGUUGUUUUAAACCACCCAGUUCAUGGUAAUUUGUAACACCAGCUACAAGAAAUUAACACAAGGCUGAUGUGACUUUCCAUCAGGAGAGAGACAGCCCCAGGUAGGUGUUUCAGAUAUCACAUCCAAUAGAACAAAUUAAAGACAAACACCCUAAAUUCUAGAUGUUGAUUUGUGAGCAAGUUAUUUCUCCUAUGGGCAACUCUAGUUGAAAUAUGCAAUUCAUUAUGUUGAAACAUGGAAUUGUUAUUUUCAUAGGUUAAAAAAAAAUCACAUAGUGGCAAUAUAGUAGUAGUGCUCGUUUUUUGUUUUUUGUUUUUUUGUCAAAAAUGCUAGACAACAUGGAAGAUCAGGGAAAUAUUAACAGUCUGAUUCAGUAACCUUUAACAGCUUCUUUUCAGGUUACACAGGCUAAGCUAACUUUUAUAUCAGGAUCAGGAUCUGCAGAGUUAUUAGUAUAGUGCUCUGCAGAUCCUGGUCCUAGUAUAGCAGGAUCUGCAGACCCUAGUUGUACCUGGCCAUGUUCCCCACCAAUGACUGAGAAAGAAAUGGCUCGAACAGAAAACAGUGGUCUUGAAAGGCAACGCAACAGUAGGUUACAAAUAGCAUUAGCUUUUUCUUUAAAGAAAUUCAUUGUAACCAGUGAAGGAUAAGAUUUUAAAUUAGAAAAAUGGAAAUCCUAUGAAUAAAAAACUAGUAAGCUUGAGAGCAGAAUCACUGUGGAAAAAAAACAGAUUGAAAAAUAACUUGCAGGUAUCAUAGACAGGAAAUUGCCACUAGAGAAAACAGGAAACUUGUGAUAGAUAAAAAUGAAGUAUUUUCAUUUGGAACAAGAGACCAACUGAAGAGAGAUCAAGUGAAGGGGGUUUAUUUUAAUGAAACACAAAGAUUCUUGUGGAAAUCAAAGUGCCGGAGCCAGAAACAGGGCUCAACCUUCAAGAUUAGAGCUGUAUUCAAGUUGUUCAAGUUGGCUCUCGGUCCCAAAGCAACAGCAAUGUCACUAAGGUUACAAGUAAAAGGUAAGCUUUCAUGAUCAAAAUGUUUUUGCAAAGUAGCUUAAAAUGGUUUCUGCAGUGUUUUGUCAAAACUUUUCUCAUACAUUUUCCUAAAGAUAUUUAGCAAGAGCCUAAGAAGUCAUGUGCUAGGGAUUUUCAUUGUACUGAAUGAUUGUAUCCUUUAAGCCGCUGCUGGAGUUAGGACUGACAGGAACGCAGUACAAAUUACUGGGGGCUAGAGUCCCAAAGCAGGCCAGGGACCAGUCUACAUUGCAUGUCGAUACCAAUCCCAUAUAACAAUAUUCAGCCUGUGUUUGGGCAGUCUGAGGCAGCUUUUAGCAGCUGUGAACCCAGUAUCCAUGGACAGUUUCAUUUCUGGAGGGCAGUCUUCAAAACGUUUAUGAAAGUACACCUCCCAUUCAGAUAUGUUUUUUUCUUCCUACAUGUAGUGCUAGUGUUUUUCUCAUUUUCAUUUACUUGAAACAACAGAUCAAAUGUUUUGUCAUAAUCAGUGAAUGGCAAGACUCCCUUUAUUACAUGGGUAUUACCAUGUUAGAGAUAAGAAGAGCUCUUGUAACCAUUAACAACCACUACAAUGUAGCAACUUACAGUUUCCUAUUUUAUAUUGCAGCUCUGUAACAUUUGACUACUUUUGUAAGAGUUUCAUGAUUUCAAGGAUGAUUAUUAGCAUUUUCAAUUUUUUGGCCAAUUCUGGGUGCUGGUAAUGUUACCACUGCAGGCAACUAUGGCUCUACUCAACUGAAGACCUCUUAUAGGCAAUGUGGACCAUACCUGCUUUCCUGAGAGAUCAGCAAAUUGGGUUUGGUCAUCAGGAAAUUCUGUCUCUCAGAUCUCAUACUAGCAAGGAGACCCCUGGUUGUACCUGUCAGAGCUGCCAGUUGGCCCUGCUGAAACUUUAGAACUGCACCAAUGUCUAAGACUUUCAUCCUCCUUCCUUCACACAGGUGAGACCUGCCUGCCUCAUUGUCUGACAGCUUUCCCAGCCUCCUCCAGGCUCCCCUCCGUUUUCUCUUAUACGCAUUCCCCCAAUAAACUUCCUGUACAUUUAAUACCAUCUCAGUGUCUGCUCCCAGGAGGACCCUAACUGACACACUGGGGCAUUUAGCCUCCAAUUCCUUUUCUCCCUUGGCUGAGAUCUGUUCCAGGAAGUAUCUCCAGGACACUCCAGCCUGUUGCACAGGCCAAAGAAAAGCCCUCAGGCAGAGGAGCAAAUACUUGCAAGAGGACACCAGUGGCAAGAACAGGGACAUGCCACCCUGUGAAGACGUGCCUUUCGUCAAGAUUGUAAGUUUCCUGAGGCCUUCCCACCCAUGCGGAACUGAAAAAAUCUUCCUGUGACUUCCUACAACUUUUGGGAUAAGGACCAAAGUAUUUCAAAUGACCUACAAGAUCCUCUAUCAUCUGGACUAUGGACUUACUUGCUCACUCCAGCUGUCCUAUGCUUUCUUCAGCGCCUCCAGUGUAGCCUGCUCUCUUUCACCUCAGGGCUAACUUCUAUUUUUUCUCCAGGUCGAAUGAUCUAAAUAUCACUUCCUCAGGGUGGAAGGAAAUCUUCUGGGACUAGCUAGUCAAGCUAUGAUAAGAGAAACAAGAACUGGAUUUAACCUUUGGUUGCAAACAACUAAAAACUGGACGGCUGGAGAUAUCAUGCUACCAGACUUCAAACUAUAAGGCCACAGUAACCAAAACAGCAUGGUACUGAUACAAAAACAGACACAUAGACCAAUGGAACAG
ensembl:lncRNA PAXBP1-AS1 PAXBP1 antisense RNA 1